UCGCCCAAUACCGUUUAAAAUCGCUAAAAGCGUUUCGACGUCGCAACGCCGUGCAAUUCAAUUUGACAGCUCUUCCACCUAACAAAUCAGCUGCGUCGAUCCAUCAGCUGUUCAAUCAAAACAAGUUCUGAGUCGAAUCCACAGCUCAACAACUAUGAACUAUCUCAGGAAUUUAGACUGACCAAACGACACCAUGUGGAAGGCGUCUUGAGGCGCAAAAACCGGAAUUAGGAUGAACGGUUCCGAUCGGCACUGGAAAAGGAACAGCGGAGAUCAUAUUAUCAAAUUGCAGAAUCGGUCAGAACUGGGUGGAAAACUGCCAAAAAAAGGAUUACCAAGCAAAUCGAAAGAGCCCUCAGACGAGUACCGCAGGAUUUGGAGUAGCUACCAGCGGUUACCAGUAAACCGGUUUUACGAACAUCUCUGGACAUCCCCAUUUUCGGAGGAUUCGGUGCUCAGAUUCAAACCGACAGCCUGAGGACCCAAGUAACCACAAGCAUUAUAUCAUUGCACGAAUUAGACUGAAUAUCAACCUUUGCAAUGUGAAAUGCAGUAAUUCCACACUUGUCAUGCAAUAAUCCUUUAGAUGGGCAUUAUCAAUGUAAUGAUGCAUUACAUUUUUCUUUACAUUAUGGUAUAUUCAAAGCUGAUAUACGAUAAUUCAAUAAUUCAACACUGCAUAAACUGAAUAAAUGCAAUGUACAAACUUGCAAAGGUUGCUCUAAUAAUACAAUUGUAACAGCUUGACUCCAAUGGUAAACAAAUGUAUUCAAGAAGAGUGAACAACUUUACUCUAGCGGUCAUCAACACUUCUGGUUCGACUCCUGACCAACUUAAUCCCCGUUUGAACCACCGAUCGACGAUUUUUUUUUUCAUAAAAACCUUUUUAAAGAUUACCUUUUCUCUUUUCUGUUGGCUGCUAUCACAAGCCAAUAAUUAUGGAAACCACAACUAGCAUGUGAGCAGUGUGCGAAGGGUGUUUUAAAUUUCUUAUAUUGAUUGAAUGUAUUCUGAAAUGCAUUAUGUACUUAUCAGUGAUUAUGAGAAUGUGAUUCCAGGGAUUCUAUUACAUAUGACAUAGUCGUUUUGCCCUCUACUGCAAUGAUUGAGACAGAAGAACAGUCUCUUUUUAGUUAAUGAAAUAUCUGUUGUUAUCACUGCAGCAGAAACGGACCAAGGCGCCAGCGCAUAUGGAACUCAUCUAGCGGUCUUCAACAAUUCUGGUUCGACUCCCGACCCGGCGACAAAAAAAAAACAAUGGUUAAAACAUUCAUGUGUGGGGGAAUUAGUACCGUCGAUAAAGAAGCGGUGCUAAAAAUAGCUUUUUAUUUUGAUUUUUCGUGUUGCACGUAUUUAGCAUGUGUAAAUGCAAAUGUACAGCACAUGCAUUUAAGUUACUUUAGCAAUGGCUGUCAACGUGCUGCAAUAUGUGGUAUUAAUUUGAUUGUAGUGGGGCCCUUUUCGACUUUAAUAUUGCUUCAAUGAGGUGUUUAAAGUAAUGCAGCAUUAUAUUCACAAUUUUAAAUAUGAAUAUACAGCAAAAUUGAUGCACUUAUAUACGGCUUCGUGGUUACUUGGGUUGCUCUCGGAAACUGCCAUUACCUCGGCCAUUACGCAAUGAUGAGAGCGCUGAAGGUGUGUCAGUUUUUUCUACAAAAUUGCUUCGUCGAAUGUGUCUAAACAGUACAGGUGUGAAUUUCAGAUAAAUAAGAACUAAAUAAAAAUAGCAUGCUUUGUUAGAUAAAUCUAUUUUUUUCUGUUAGCUUUCUUAAAAAAAAAAACAAGGUGUAAAAUAAG